GAUGAACGCUGGCGGCGUGCUUAACACAUGCAAGUCGAACGGUGAACACGGAGCUUGCUCUGUGGGAUCAGUGGCGAACGGGUGAAUAACACGUGAGCAACCUGCCCCUGACUCUGGGAUAAGCGCUGGAAACGGCGUCUAAUACUGGAUAUGUGACGUGACCGCAUGGUCUGCGUUUGGAAAGAUUUUUCGGUUGGGGAUGGGCUCGCGGCCUAUCAGCUUGUUGGUGAGGUAAUGGCUCACCAAGGCGUCGACGGGUAGCCGGCCUGAGAGGGUGACCGGCCACACUGGGACUGAGACACGGCCCAGACUCCUACGGGAGGCAGCAGUGGGGAAUAUUGCACAAUGGGCGCAAGCCUGAUGCAGCAACGCCGCGUGAGGGAUGACGGCCUUCGGGUUGUAAACCUCUUUUAGCAGGGAAGAAGCGAAAGUGACGGUACCUGCAGAAAAAGCGCCGGCUAACUACGUG
rnacentral:rRNA from 1 species